GGCUCCGGUGCACCAUCCCCUACCCCCCCCGGCCUUCUUCCCAGGGGCUCAUCACCUCUGCAGUAGCCAUGUCGUUCACCGCGCGCAGGAAGAUCCAGAAGGAGAAAGGGCAGGAGCCGGACGAGUUCGAGGAAUCCGUCGCCCAGGCCCUCUUCGAUCUGGAGUCUACCAACUCUGAGCUCAAAAGUGAGCUUCGCGACCUCUUCAUCAAUUCCGCGAAGGAGGUUGAUGUCUCCGGAAACCGCAAGGCCGUCAUCAUCCAUGUGCCUUACCGUCUGCGCAAGGCUUUCCAGAAGAUCCACGCUCGUCUUGUCCGAGAGUUGGAGAAGAAGUUCAGUGGGAAGGUGCGUUGUGAUUAUGGGAUUUAGGUCAGGGGCCCUGUGGGUCUCGAAGUUGUCUAGGUCUUCUUUUAUCGAUUGUCUUUCGAUGAUGUGACGUCCACGUUAUCAUGUAGGGUUGUGUACAUUGGGUUCCUGCCUCCAUAUUCAUGUUGUAGUGUGUAUAAUUUAGGUAGUUUCAUUGC
rnacentral:lncRNA from 1 species